GCCUUUGUUACCAGUGGCCUGUUUUUAUCACAACUUAAAAGAAACCUAAGCUUGCAGAAGCUUGCAGCUUGUUCCUACCUAAAAUAAUGUUAGUAUUCUGUAUUCCCUUUGUGCUUUCCUUCAUUAAAUGUUCCAGCAUGAAUCAGAUCUUCUUCUCCUAAUAGCUAGAGAGGGUUUCAUCUACUGCUGUAGCCUUGGAGGAGUCUUGGUAGCCUCCUGUUUCCAGGGGCUGGCCAGCCGUGUUGGAAGUGCUGAGGAGAACUGUACAUUUCUUUCCAAGCCAGAGAAAGCAUCUGCCUUUGCGCUCAAGAAGAUAGUUUGAACAUCCUCUAAACAGAAGGAGCUGUAACUGGGAUCCCACUAACAGCAAGUGUACCGUACUGGAAGGAAGCUGAAACUGCUUCAUUGCAGUGGGAAGGUGAGCAAGAAGAAUCCUCCCCUUUUGAAACUUCCAAUAUCAUGUCAUCAUUAAUCUGUCUUCCACUGAUAGUGAAGUUUUACUUGCUCCAGUUGGAAAAUGCUGCARUAGAUGAUACUGUUUUGCUGUUUGCUCAAGCAGUGUUGGCUGUUCUGAGGAGCUCUUCCGGUUUGACUCUUCUUGCUUUGGUCUGAGAUAGACUAGUGAUUACUCUCUGCCCAUGUGGAACGGCAUUCUGCACAUUAUGUAACAGCAAUCCACCUCCUUAAUUAGGGAGCAAGAUGCACAGAUUCCAGAGAAGACUUGUCCCUCUUAGUCAGAAGACAUAUGAGGUGUGCGGGGGAGCCUUUGUUCUUGCUGGAAGCUAAGGGAAGGAGCAGAAUUUAACUUCAUCAUCCAGUUGCAUUAAUUUAGUUUCUUUUUUUAAUCUAGCCUUUGUUGGAACGUUUGUACGUACUUGUUAACUAAUAUUUCAGAAACAGGAGAUGCUGCAAACAGUGACUUUCUCAUUCCAUACGAUAGGAUUUUUACUCUGUGCUAGAAUAUUAAAUACUGGAGAUGUCAUGUCUUCUCCAUGGCCUUUUAACAGAAUGGUUAGGGUAGAGGCAGCAGUUUCAACACAUGAUUUAAGGUAAGUGCCUCAUUUGUUCCCUACUGUUUUCUCUGAACUUUGGCAUCGCAUUAAUUAUACUGAAACUGCUCCUUUCUGGAAGUACACGACAAGGCAAAACUAGCGUUUUUCAUCCAUUCUGUUGAGGACAGCUCUUGCAAAUCACCUUGUAUUCCAUUAAAAUUAUUAAAUCAUCGGUUCCAGUCUUCCCUGUACAAACAAUCAACACUAAAACAUUAUCUGGUAGUGCUGACUAACAAAUCUGCAAUUAGUAAUCUCCAGUUAAUGAAGCUGCAUGGUGAUUAAAGC
rnacentral:lncRNA from 1 species